rnacentral:misc_RNA from 1 species
GCUUCCUAGCCCCGGCCGUCACUACUUCACUCCUGUCUAUACAUACACAAUGGGAGUGCCGAUGGCGUGUUCUUGCCUUGUGGAACCGAAGAGCAGUCAUCCAACUGUGUGGCCGAAUGCAGAGUCUAACCAGUAUUGCAGUAAGUCAGGGCGAAGAGGAAGUCCGAAGCUCGAGAAAAGGAAUGAUGAGGAGGACUGUGCAGGGGCGGCAGGAAAUGCUGGUGUGGUGGGGAGAGGCUGAAGAAUGUCCCGGGCGAGUGAAAGCCUCCGAGUGCUGCUUUGCUCCUCGGCUGACCGCGGGGUGUCUAAAGACCUCCAGAGCACCAUGGACUGCACUCCUUUCCACACAAGUCAAGGUUUUUUUUCACACGCUGCCACGUGAAAAAUAAUUGAAAAUACUUCACCUUAUAUUUGUAUGUGCAUUUGUAAAUUUUUUGUACUAUUAAUAUUGUCAUUGUCAAUAGAAUUUUCGUUGAUAUUCGUUGUUGGUUUGGUUAUGUUAGAUUAUAUAUGGGUAUGAUUUUUUUAUUGGUUGUUGUUGCGUAAUUAUAUUAAUGCGCCGAGAAGAAGAAGCAGAAGGAGGAGGAAGAUGAGGAGCAUACUAGAUGAAGGUGUGGGAGAUUAACAAGGUGUCAUGGAAGACUCCUUGAAGAAAACACCAAAGGCGAAGAAAAGCUCUUACUUGAUAUUAAUUAAUCAGGCCAUAACAUUAAGUUUUGAUUAAAAAGGAAACGUUGAUCAUUAUAACCAAACUUAAUCAAAUUUACUUAAUUAAAUUUUUUGAUGCAAAUCCAUUGGUCCUGACGACUUACUGUUAUUGCCAAAAAAUAUUCCAAACCACUCUCUUUGGCUGUACAGGCGAGGGUGUGUCUGUCGCUGCGGUGUUGGUGUGGAAAGCUGAAGCCAGUGGACGCUUUGAUGGCCAAAGGAAUUAUUAUGCAUAGACUUGCCUCUGUGUUUCUUCCUCUUCCUGUUUUAUUCAACGACGGUCACACCCGCUGCGUUCACCCGUGUUCACCAGGCUGCCAGCAUUAUCAACAUUCAAAUACACUGUCGGUAUUAAUAUAAAAACAUUUAAUAAUAUCAGUCGGAAUCAAAUCGAAAAUUUAAAGCACCAAAGAUGAAUAUAAUGUAUACAACAUUUGAUUUCACGACAAACCAUAAACUAUGAAUAUUUAAACACUAUUCAUGAAAACUGAUAAAUAAGCGAAGUAAAUCAUAGAACAGACAUGAGAAGAGUCGCAAGAGAGAAGGACUGCCGAAAUACAUCUUGUGAGCGGUUCCUCUGUCCUUGAUAGAUGCCAAGCGAAACGACAGAUAUCUUGCUGUAGGACCUGAGGAAAUGUGCCAGACGUAAUGACGCUCCACUUCCCACUAAACAUAACCAUAAGGAUCGAAAGAAGGUAAAGUUUGGUUUCCCCAUGAGAUGAAAACAACUGUAAUGGUUUUAACAAUGUUGAAAAUAACCCGGUUUAGAAAAAAAAAUAAUAUUUAUUUGGGUAAGAUUUAUUUAUUUUUUUUAUCGGAGGCAGUAUGUUGCUUUACUUUAUUUUUUUUUUAUUUUUCUUAGUUAUGUGGAAAAAUAGUUUGAAUAAGUAAUUAAUAAUGUAAUCUGUAUUAGAACAAAAAGUUUUAUUUGUUAUCUGAUUUUAAUACAGGUUGGACAAAGACUUUAUAGGAAAUGAACAAGUCACCCUAAACUACACUACUUUUAUUUUGUUUGUAUGUACAGACGGCUUUUUACCGGUAGGAAUUUCUCUCUCUCUCUCUCUCUCUCUCUCUCUCUCUCUCUCUCUCUCUCUCUCUCUCUCUCUCUCUCUCUCUCUCUCUCUCUCUGAGAUGGAGUUAUACUUUUAAAUAACCAUCAAUCAUUAUCGUGUUCCUUCGCCAGUCAGAUCAAAUGCUUUCCCUAGUGUACUGCUACAUAACCUCUUAACCUCAAUCCCAUCCAUCGUGUAAAGUGAUCUUCAAUAAUAGAGUAACGUACCGAAUUCUCACUGUGUUUGACUCUCCCCAUCUAUCACAGUCGUCUGAUCUCUCAAGAAUCUAUCACUUAUUAAGAUCAGAGGGCAUAAGACUGAAGAAGGAAUAUCAAAGUGCACUGGAGAAUAUUACAGACUAAUAAGUACUCUCCUCUCUCAUAUUAGAGCAGAUGAACUUCUAAUGAAAGCAAAUUGAGUUAACCUUUUCAGUACCAUGAUGCAUUUCAAUAUUUGUUCUAACUAUUUAGUGAUUUUAUACAGCUUCAGAAACUUAUUUGUGGAUUAAAAUUGUAAAGACUCUGGCCAUUAUUCUUUUAACUUCCAUAGACCCUUCCUAAUCUAAAUGAAAUUGUCUAAUCAUACCUCAAACUCAAGGUGAAAAACGCGUCCACGCACUGAAGGGGUUAAGGAGCUCAGAUAUCUUAUUAUCUUAUCAGCGACAAUGAAAUGGCCAGGUGACUUGUGGGAAUCUGUAAAUAAAUAAUAAAAAUAAUAAGCAGUGCAAUGAGGAGUAUUGUCAAAAACUAAAGGUAUUUUUCUCGCUCGUUUGUGGCAUCCAAUAAAUAAACGUCGCAUGUGUCUUACGUAAUUGUUGCCAAAAAAAAAAACACUACAAUCAUUGUUCCGGAACAGCACAUAAGGCAUAAUGCGCCUGUAAUUUAGCUAAGUAUGCUCGUAAAUCUCUGUUUCGC